rnacentral:rRNA from 1 species
CCUACGGGAUGCAGCAGUGGGGAAUAUUGCACAAUGGGGGAAACCCUGAUGCAGCGACGCCGCGUGAGCGAUGAAGUAUUUCGGUAUGUAAAGCUCUAUCAGCAGGGAAGAAAAUGACGGUACCUUACUAAGAAGCCCCGGCUAACUACGUUCCAGCAGCCACGGUAAUACGUAGGGGGCAAGCGUUAUCCGGAUUUACUGGGUGUAAAGUGAGCGUAGACGGCUGUGCAAGCCAGAUGUGAAAGCCCGGGGCUCAACCCCGGGACUGCAUUUGGAACUGUGUGGCUGGAGUGUAGGAGAGGAAGGCGGAAUUACUAGUGUAGCGGUGAAAUGCGUAGAUAGUAGGAGGAACACCAGUGGCGAAGGCGGCCUGCUGGACGAUGACUGACGUUGAGGCUCGAAAGCGUGGGGAGCAAACAGGAUUAGAUACCCGAGUAGUC